GCCAAACUUGCAUUAAAAGCUUAUAAGAGCAAUAGUUACAAACUGGGUCUACCAUUAACAAAGACAAACAAAAGCCCACACUAUGUGGCAACAGACAAGCCCAUCAGACCUUACCAACCCAAACCCAACCAAUCAACCCACAAAUCAAUCCAUCCCCUUCUUAGAAACCCUACCAAAACAAAGAAGAGCUUAACCAGUGACCCACCUUCGCCUUCUUCCACAGCUUAUCAUUGCCAGAAAGUCACCCAUCACAACAUAGCCUCUCCCUCACAACGUUGAUCGCCAUUUUCUCCACAAAGCUCUGCUCAGCUUUGCCACGUACAAAAAGGCGCUGUCAUAGUGCUUUUCAACCCUCAUAGCCAUUGGGACAGCUUUCCCAGUCGUAAUGUAGAAGCAAAUUCCGAAGAUGAGAAAUAGCCAAAUCAAGGAGAAACCUCUUGAUGCUCAGCACAGUCGCAAACCCAACAGCAACCAACGCCCCCAACCUUCAAUCAGCCAUCUCAAUAGCGAAAGUAUGACAUACUCCAUGUUCACAGAUUUACGAACAGCAUGCCAUGCAAAAAACUCAAGGUCCUUCGCCAAUUGUUCUGGUUUUUGGAAAAGCACCCAUUUCAUUAGCUUAAUCAGAUAUUUGUGAACCAAUGAUAGUACAUCUGGUAAACACAUUCCUCACCUUUGAACAAAUUGUGUUCAUUAAAUGCAUAAUCAUUCUUUGUUAUAUCUAAUAAGCACUAUAAUAAUAUGCAAUGGGGAACUGCAAGGGACAACUGAUGUCCCUCUAAAUUUGUAGGACUGGACAUCUGUAAUACACUACUCACGCUCAGGGUUAGACAUCUAGAGUGUAAAAUUUGUAAGACGACAUUGAGACUAGGGGUUGACUUUAAUAUUAUGAAGCCCAACUCUACCCAAAAGGCAUGAACAAUUUAACUGAGUCAUAAGAAAAACUUUGCUACUUACGUAUCUUAACAGAUUUCAUUUUCAAACAAACAUUAUAUAGUUUUGCCACCAAAGGUGAUUACCAAACUUCACUCAACAAUUGAAAUUGCUUCCAAGAGUCAAAGUGACAGAUGACAAAAUACAUAGCUAAAGAUUUACAUGUCGCAUGAAAUUUAUCAUAAAAAUAUGUAAAAGAACAGAUAAAUAAGGACAAUUGAUAGGAACAUUAGCAAUUCUUAGUUCCUUACAUGAAAAAUUGUAAUAAAAAAGUAGUUAAAAACAUUACCUGCAUAUUUGAAGGCCAAAUCGGCAAUGCAAGCAAUUAUUGGUUCAGACAUAUCCAUUCUAUUUUCUUUGCUGCUCAAAAUGAACGAUGCAAAACCGGUGAAAUUGUAUCAGGAAAACAAAUCCACUCUAUUGCUAAGACAAAUUAAUGAAAAUACAGGUAAAGAGUAUUAGGUUAAGAAAUUGAACCUUCUGCUUCAGCUAUGGAGAUUGUAGAGAGCCUGAAACGGUCACGAAGCAGUUCGCUUUCCGAAUCUUCGUCUUCUCUCUCCGCAUCGCUUCCAUGACCCCCUUCCAUUUUGAUCAAGGGUUUGAAUUACCCAUCCCUAGGUCCAUCGUAAAA
rnacentral:misc_RNA from 1 species